UACAGAGGUCCCAAGCGUUGUUCGGAAUUACUGGGCGUAAAGGGCUCGUAGGCGGCCAACUAAGUCAGACGUGAAAUCCCUCAGCUUAACUGGGGAACUGCGUCUGAUACUGGAUGGCUUGGAUCCGGGAGAGGGAUGCGGAAUUCCAGGUGUAGCGGUGAAAUGCGUAGAUAUCGGAAGGAACAUCAGUGGCGAAGGCGACUUCCUGGACCAAUACUGACGCUCAGGUGCGAAAGCGUGGGGAGCAAACAGG
rnacentral:rRNA from 1 species